AAGAAAGCUUGCUUUCUUUGCUGGCGACCGGCGCACGGGUGAGUAACACGUAUCCAACCUACCCUUUACUCGGGGAUAGCCUUUCGAAAGAAAGAUUAAUACCCGAUAGCAUAAUGAUUCCGCAUGGUUUCAUUAUUAAAGGAUUCCGGUAAAGGAUGGGGAUGCGUUCAUUAGGUUGUUGGUGGGGUAACGGCCCACCAAGCCUUCGAUGGAUAGGGGUUCUGAGAGGAAGGUCCCCCACAUUGGAACUGAGACACGGUCCAAACUCCUACGGGAGGCAGCAUG
rnacentral:rRNA from 1 species